UCACAUGUGAAAUCCCCGGGCUUAACCUGGGAACUGCAUGUGAUACUGGUGGUGCUAGAAUAUGUGAGAGGGAAGUAGAAUUCCAGGUGUAGCGGUGAAAUGCGUAGAGAUCUGGAGGAAUACCGAUGGCGAAGGCAGCUUCCUGGCAUAAUAUUGACACUGAGAUUCGAAAGCGUGGGUAGCAAACAGGAUUAGAUACCCUGGUAGUCCACGCCGUAAACGAUGUCUACUAGCCGUUGGGGUCCUUGAGACUUUAGUGGCGCAGUUAACGCGAUAAGUAGACCGCCUGGGGAGUACGGCCGCAAGGUUAAAACUCAAAUGAAUUGACGGGGGCCCGCACAAGCGGUGGAGCAUGUGGUUUAAUUCGAUGCAACGCGAAGAACCUUACCUGGUCUUGACAUAGUGAGAAUCCUGCAGAGAUGCGGGAGUGCCUUCGGGAAUUCACAUACAGGUGCUGCAUGGCUGUCGUCAGCUCGUGUCGUGAGAUGUUGGGUUAAGUCCCGCAACGAGCGCAACCCUUUUCCUUAUUUGCCAGCGGGUUAAGCCGGGAACUUUAAGGAUACUGCCAGUGACAAACUGGAGGAAGGCGGGGACGACGUCAAGUCAUCAUGGCCCUUACGACCAGGGCUACACACGUGCUACAAUGGUAGGUACAGAGGGUUGCUACACAGCGAUGUGAUGCUAAUCUCAAAAAGCCUAUCGUAGUCCGGAUUGGAGUCUGCAACUCGACUCCAUGAA
rnacentral:rRNA from 1 species